CAAAGCCCAUUACUGGCACCUACUGGUUGGAGUGUGAACAAAGUGCCUGCUUUUUUACAUUUCGUGCAAUUAUUUGUAACUAUAUAUGUCAAUCUAUAUCUUGCCAGUGAGUUUUACCACAGUAAUUUAUUGUGCUUCCGUAAGAACAUUCAACAUUUGCGCUUUGAAUGUCCAAACUUUUCUUUAGUAGGCAUGGCAGUAGGCAGGCCGGGCACCAUAACGUUUUAAUUAUUGUGGUAGCUUGCCUUGCUGUGUAACUUAAUGUUAUGAGAGUUGAGAGAGAUCCAUUCCAUAUUGAACCGACAGAAAGAACUGUACUGUAAAUGGACAGUGGAGGAAGAGGACGUGGAAGGGGGAAGUCAGAGGCUAUCCAGUUCUUCUGGCUGGAGAACAGUGUAUUGCUGACACAUGGGGAUACUGAGUGGGAAACUACUUCCCCGCCCUAAAACUAAGACCCACAUAGAGUAUUCUGCCACUGGAGUAGGUGAAGAGGCUUAUCUGCGCUUCGGAGGUAAAAGACAUGGCUGAGUUUGUCAUCAGACAGCUGUCGAUUUCCAGUUCUGUUUAGACUGUUUCCAUGGAAACGGAUACUGUUCGGAACCAGAACCAGAAGACUGAAUGAAGACUGAGUCUGAAAACACCCUCAACAACAGCUCUAUUACCAUACAGGCCACAGUACAGGCACAGAGACUGACGGGUGUUCCUGAUAACACUGUCACAUGACUGGAAGACACAAAAGGAUACUAUCUAUCAGAUGGGAAGCAGAAGGCACAAGCUGUGGUUUUGUCAACGGACAGUCUCAACUGUUCCACAGAGAUAGGAAAACACACACACACACACACACACACACACACACA